AGCUGCUUAGCUAUGGAUCCC
rnacentral:miRNA from 1 species